rnacentral:misc_RNA from 1 species
AAACUGCGAAAAGCACUGCGAAUUGCAGAACUCUAUGAGUCAGUAGAUCUUCGAACGCAUUUUGCGCUACGCGCAUGUUUGCUUCAGUGCCUAUUCCGCUUCAAAUCUGCCAGUGGAGUCCUCUGGCUAAGUAGUUACACUCUGGUCUGUUGGCAACGACCUGAGCUCAGUUAGUGCCUGAAGUCAAGCAAGAUAACCCGCUGAACUUAA